AACGAACGCUGGCGGCAGGCUUAACACAUGCAAGUCGAACGCCCCGCAAGGGGAGUGGCAGACGGGUGAGUAACGCGUGGGAAUCUACCCAGAUCUUCGGAACAACUGAGGGAAACUUCA
rnacentral:rRNA from 1 species